AAUAAGUUCACCUAGGGAAUGAACAUGGUCAUCUGGAGGCGAUGGCUUUUCUUCAUUGAAGGUGCUAGAGAAGAUUACUGGUGCAGAGCAGAACAAGUAAUGUGUAGUUGUAAGAGACUAUUCUUUUAUAUCAUUGACUCAAAGUUUGCUGAGGAACAAGUCCAGGCAAGUCCUGGGCAAAGGCAGAGAAAUCUUUUGUCUUGAGGACACUGAUGGACAGGUCCUGGCUAAGGAUUGUGAAAUCCUCUAAGGAGCACAGAUGGACAAGGCCAGGGGCAACAAGAGAGAGAUAAGCUGCUGCUAAUGGCUGGGAAAUGGUCUUUUUGUUUAUCUCAAGGAAAAUGGCCAUCUCAGGUGGUAUGCACAUGAGUCUUGCUCAAGCACCCAGGAAUGUCAUGUAGGCAGCAGAAAAUGGAGGAUAAAAGAGGGUCCAACAACCACGGCUAUGUGGAGGCUGAUCUCUCACUGCAACACGGAGUCUGAUCUCUCAUGAUCUCUCACCACGACACGAGCUUCCUGCCUUCAGAUCCUUCUCUACGGACUGUUUGCUGACGGACUUCCCUGGGCCUGCUACCUGAGACCUGCUGCUUCCUCCCUGACCUGCACCCUCUCGUUGCCCAAGACCGGCCUCACUGCUCCUGCCCUUCGGCCUCGGACCAUCGGAACGUCGUGCAACGGGACUGCUGCUGAAUCCUGGUGGCCUUCAGGAAAAGAAAUUACAAGAAUCAAGUCUGACCACUGUUUAUCAAAACUUCUAAGUCAUAGUUUCUUUCCCAGUACCCUAUGACUCAGGUUAUAUAUAUAUUCUAUGCUGAAGGAUGUUAACCUUUAAUCAAUCUGUUUUUUGAACACAUACAAGAAUACCUUGCAUUAUUUUCCUUUCACUUGUUUUGAAGAACCUCUUGCCUUUCCUCUUUCACCUCUUUGAUCUAAUGUGAUUUCUAGCACAGUUCUUAAACUCAAUAACUCAGCAUUAGAUUACUUAUACUUUUUCAUCCUUUCUUUAUCCUAGGUUUGUUGUUGUUGUUGUAGUUGUUUGUUUUGUUUUUGCUAGACUCCACACAUGCACUGCAGAAUGGUUUUGAUGCACCUGCAUUUUAAAACAACAUUGUAUAUCUUUGCAAACUUUGUGGAAGUGUAUGAUUGGGAUUCUGGAGAUAAAAUCAUCAGCGAUUCUAGCUUGGGGCCAAACAUGAUUCUAAAAAACAACUCUGGCUUGAUGAUGGAUAUAUGGUACUGAUGUCCAAAAUGAAAUAAACUAUACUAUGCAUAUAAUGUGCAUAUUAGUUUAUUACCCUCUAUUAUUCAAACAUUUCUAACUAUCCUGCAAAAGGCUGGUACUGAAGUUUAUUAUGUGACAGAAAACCUACAACUGUCUUGACAGUAGAAAAAAAAGAAUGAAUCUGCCUCUAAUUAGGCAUCAGUAACAAAACUUAAGCUUAGGAGGUACGUUGUCUAAUUACUUCUCAGUAUAAAUAAAAGAGUUUUGUACAUGAACAUAUUUUAGUGUGCCUUUUAAUCAGUGUGUUUGUAAUCAGAGUGUUUGUAUCCUUAUGAGACAUAGGAGAGAUACGCAUAAUAUCUGAAUAUCUGAAGAACUGUAUAAGAAUUCAAUAUUAUUUAGUGCUGUCACUGCAUCUCCCAGAGAAAACUGGGAGAUUUUGUUUUACUCUACAGUGAAGAAGUAGAGAGGAUGAAAUGUUCAAAAUGCCAUCAGAGAGAAAAGUGACACUAAGAACUAAGGGCCAGUUGUGAUGAAGAUGUUGAUACAAUCAACCGCAAUAUAUGUUUGAGAGAAAAUUAAAUGAUAAACAAAUACAGGGUUUCAGAAUGUUAGUGAAGGAAAAAAGAGCUAACUGUCAAAAAAUUCCCAAUUUUAAUUUCCAAUAAAAAUAGUUUUGAUAUGUUUCGACAUUGGUACAAUGGCACAAUGAGAAUGUCAGAAACAUUACC
ensembl:lncRNA